rnacentral:rRNA from 1 species
CCUACGGGUGGCUGCAGUGGGGAAUAUUGCGCAAUGGGCGAAAGCCUGACGCAGCGACGCCGCGUGAGGUCAGUGCCCUAUGGGCGUUAAACUUCUUUUGUGCGGGAGUAAUAAUGGUCACGUGUGGCCAGACGAGAGUACCGUACGAAUAAGCAUCGGCUAACUCCGUGCCAGCAGCCGCGGUAAUACGGGGGAUGCAAGCGUUAUCCGGAUUUAUUGGGUUUAAAGGGUGCGUAGGCUGAGAGGUAAGUCAGCGGUGAAAUGCCCCCGCUCAACGGGGUGAAGUGCCAUUGAUACUGCCUUGCUGGAAUGCGGAUGCGGUGGGAGGAAUGUGUGGUGUAGCGGUGAAAUGCAUAGAUAUCACACAGAACACCGAUUGCGAAGGCAGCUCACGAAUCCGCGAUUGACGCUGAUGCACGAAAGCGUGGGUAUCAAACAGGAUUAGAUACCCUUGUAGUC